rnacentral:rRNA from 1 species
ACAAACGCUGGCGGGGUGCAUGAGACAUGCAAGUCGAACGGGGUUGAGCGGGCUUGCUCGAUCAACCUAGUGGCGGACGGCUGAGUAACGCGUAGGUGACCUACCCGGAAGUGGGGAAUAACUGCCCGAAAGGGUGGCUAAUACCGCAUGUGGUCGGCGAUUCAGUUCGCCGCCCAAAGCCGCAAGGCGCUUCCGGCGGGGCCUGCGUCCGAUUAGCUAGUUGGUGGGGUAAUGGCUCACCAAGGCGACGAUCGGUAGCUGGUCUGAGAGGAUGAUCAGCCAGACUGGGACUGAGAACGGCCCAGACUCCUACGGGAGGCAGCAGUCGGGAAUUUUGCCCAAUGGACGAAAGUCUGAGGCAGC